CAAGAAAGCUCAGUUUUGCUUCGGUUUUGUUUCUCCCGAUUUCAUCUGCCCUGUUUUACCCUCCCAACCCGAAAGGCACCUCCACCCUCUCCCUCCCAACAUCAAAUAGAAUCGCCCCUUACAUUUUCCUUCCUUCUUUUGUUCCUGAAGGUAACUGCAAAAAAAAUUGGAGGACCGGCCACACAAGUUCAUCGUUUUCGAGCAGGAACUAGGGCUUCAAGAGAUUCGAAAAUACCAGCUUCAUCAGAGAAGUCUCAAGAUUUCCUUGAUCUCCAUCCUUUCUGGGUAUGUUUUGAAUUCCUUUUUGUCUGAAACUUGUAAAAAAUAGUGUUUUCUUUUACCAAUUGCAUUGGUUUCUUGAUUGAUUUUAAUGAAAAUGCUUAGUUUUGUACAAACAGAAACUGAAAUGAAAGGUACUGUGUGUUGAUAGCUCUGAUUGGUGGAGGGGAACUGUGAAUCCUUCACCAUGCUGUGUAUUGAAUAUGCUGUCCCCUGUCGAUCUGUUUUUUAUUGGCAACUAGCAAGAUUUGUAACCGUUGAGGGGACUUGUUGGAUUUUAGUUUUGUCUUCUAUAACAUGAAUGCAUCACCAUUUAUGGUAUCAAAUACAUCAUCCUUUCCUUGA